GAGGGCGGAGGGCGCUGGGGCGGGGCGUGGGCCCGAGAACUUGAGGAGCCGGGUUAAGAAAUGGGGAGGUGUGAGGGGCUGCGCUGCGCGGGGUGGCGGACGGUGGCCGGAGGCCGCGGGGGACGGGACAGGCGCUGGUCUGCGAGGCUGCACCCUCGCAGCUCUCUGCCCUGUGCCUGAGCUCUGGGCCUUUCCCGUUGUGAAAUACAGUCCUGGGGCUCCUGGGGAGCCUUAGCUCUGAGCAAGCCCUGGGGGCAGGGCAUAGAGUGCUUCGAGCCGUGGAGAGAUGCGAAGGGAACUCCAGCAGGGGAAGUGGGGAGUGCUUUCCCCCACAAAGGUGGGAAAGCAGGUGUGGGGCGCGAAGAAUCUUUUAAACUAAUAUUCUUUAAAUGUCUAUUUGGAGGAGAGGCCAAGUCUGUGGAGAAGGCUGAAAGGGGACCAACCAGCCCAAACUUGCUAGAAGAAACAGUUCAGCCCAGGAAGCAUUGCUAAUGAAGGCCCUAACAAGUCGCGGGAGAGGCUACCAGCCCCAGCCUUUGGACAGCAUGACACGGAGGGCUGCAACAAGAUAUUUACCUGCACCCUCAAGGAUUAUUCUGGGCCUGGAAACAGAGACCCAGAUGGAAGAGACUCACCAGCAAGACAGUGGGAUCUGGGCCUGGGGUGGGGAAAGCUCCAGGACAGUGGAGUCCUAGAGGCCCAGCUCACAGCCAUGGAAUGAGAGAUAGGGAGGAAGAAUGAGUGGAGAGGGAUCAAGGGGAGGAGCAAGAGGAUGGAGUGAACAAGGUCAGUCACAUGGCUUGAGCGUGGAUGUGUUAAGUGGGGGGAGAUCAGGUGGACCUUGGGUGGGGACAGGGCCUUGCAGAGAUCACUAUCAUAGGACUCACCCCUACUUAGAGUUUUCCAUGUGCCACUCACAUGGAAACAUUUUACAUUUUACUUUCAUUUCCUCCCUUAGUCCUGACCUUAGCCACUGCAGUGGGUUGAUGUUACUGUUAGGCUCAUUUACUGAUAAGAAAAUGGAGGCAGAGGGAGUUUCUGGUAUUUCUCCAAAGUAAUAUGCAGCUAGUAAGUUUGUAGACUGCUCCUCAGAGUUCUUGCUGUCAGUUGCCCCUCUACCACGUCUACUUCCUACACAAUCCAAACCAGAAUGUCUGGGUUUUAUCCUCAGGGCACUGUGGAGCCACAGAAGGUUUAUGAGCAAGAGAGUGAUGUGAUUUCUUUCAGCAGGAUCCCUUGGCUGCCAUGUAGAGGAUGGAUUGUAGAGGAAAGAUGAGAGCCAGGGAGGAGGCUGGAGGCCCAUGAGAAGAGACAGAGAACAGAGACACA